UCCUAAGUUAAGCAUCAUUGGGUGCGGUCAGUACUUGGGUGGGUGACCACCUGGGAACACCGCGUGCCGUU